rnacentral:rRNA from 1 species
AUUGAACGCUGGCGGCAGGCUUAACACAUGCAAGUCGAGCGAGCGGCGGACGGGUGAGUAAUGUCUGGGAAACUGCCUGAUGGAGGGGGAUAACUCCUGGAAACGUUAGCUACUACCGCAUACCAUCAGAUGUGCCCAGAUGGGAUUAGCUAGUAGGUGGGGUAAUGGCUCACCUAGGCGACGAUCCCUAGCUGGUCUGCGAGGAUGACCAGCAACACUGGAACUGAGAAACGGUCCAGACUCCUACGGGAGGCAGCAGGGGGGAAUAUGGCACAAUGGGCGCAAGCCUGAGGAAGCCAUGCGGCGUGUAUGAAGAAGGCCUUCGGGUUGUAAAGUACUUUCAGUCGGGAGGCGUUACCGACAGAAGAAGCACCGGCUAACUCCGUGCCAGCCGCCGCGGUAAUUC